UACAGAGGGUGCAAGCGUUAAUCGGAAUUACUGGGCGUAAAGCGUGCGUAGACGGUUACAUAAGUCAGGUGUGAAAGCCCCGGGCUCAACCUGGGAAUUGCAUUUGAGACUGUGUAGCUAGGGUGCGGAAGAGGGAAGCGGAAUUUCAGGUGUAGCGGUGAAAUGCGUAGAUAUCUGAAGGAACACCAGUGGCGAAAGCGGCUUCCUGGUCCAGCACCGACGCUGAGGCACGAAAGCGUGGGGAGCAAACAGG
rnacentral:rRNA from 1 species